UGUAAGCGUAUACCAAAGUUGUUGCAGUUAAAACGCUCGUAGUCGGAAUUUGGCAGUUCCGGAUGUGUGCACGUCGUGUGCGCACUUCGCGGGGGUUGCUUUUGUGGUCUUGCGUAGGAUGAGGCACUUUUAUUAGUGAACGUCCUCACGCAACCACCUUUUACUGUGAGAAAAUCAGAGUGCUCAAAGCAGGCAUUUGCCGUGAAUGUAUUAGCAUGGAAUAAUAGAAUAGGACUUGGUUCUAUUUUGUUGGUUUGUUGGGACUGAGUAAUGAUUAAGAGGGACAGUUGGGGGCAUUUGUAUUUCGGUGCUAGAGGUGAAAUUCUUAGAUUACCGAAAGACAAACUGCUGCGAAAGCGUCUGCCAAGGAUGUUUUCAUUGA
rnacentral:rRNA from 1 species